rnacentral:rRNA from 1 species
UACGUAGGGUGCGAGCGUUAAUCGGAAUUACUGGGCGUAAAGCGUGCGCAGGCGGUUUUGUAAGCCAGAUGUGAAAGCCCCGGGCUUAACCUGGGAAUGGCAUUUGGGACUGCAAGGCUUGAGUGCGGCAGAGGAGACUGGAAUUCCUGGUGUAGCAGUGAAAUGCGUAGAUAUCGAGAGGAACACCAGUGGCGAAGGCGAGUCCCUGGACAACACCUGACACUGAGGCACGAAAGCUAGGGGAGCAAACAGG